UCUCUUGUGCUCGGGCAUGUACUGUCGCCAGUGAGGUCUUUACCGAGGCACAGUCUUUUGCUGAUUGCAAAUUAAUUUCCGUACCGUCUGUUGGCUUCGGCCUUCAGCAAUUUUUGGAAAACCCCUUACGAU
rfam:Punctularia strigosozonata HHB-11173 SS5 unplaced genomic scaffold PTNSTscaffold_1, whole genome shotgun sequence.